rnacentral:rRNA from 1 species
CGGCUCAGUAACACGUGGAUAACUGCCCUAAGGUGGAGGAUAACCCCGGGAAACUGGGGAUAAUACUCCAUAGGUUAAAGGUACUGGAAUGUUCUUUAACCGAAAGCUCCGGCGCUUUAGGAUGGAUCUGCGGCCGAUUAGGUUGUUGUUGGGGUAGUGGCCCAACAAGCCUGUAAUCGGUACGGGUUGUGGGAGCAAGAGCCCGGAGAUGGAAUCUGAGACACGAUUCCAGGCCUACGGGGCGCAGCAGGCGCGAAAACUUUACAAUGCAGGAAACUAUGAUAAGGGAACCCCGAGUGCCCGUAUAUGCGGGCUGUCCGGAUGUUUAAAACGCAUCCGAAGAAAGGGCCGGGCAAGACCGGUGCCAGCCGCCGCGGUAAUACCGGCGGCUCGAGUGGUGGCCACUUUUAUUGGGCUUAAAGCGUUCGUAGCUUGAAUAAUAAGUCUCUUGGGAAAUCUGCAGGCUUAACCUGCAGGCGUUUAAGAGGAACUGUUGUUCUAGGAACCGGAAGAGGUGAGAGGUACUCCGGGGGUAGGAGUGAAAUCCUGUAAUCCCCGGGGGACCACCGAUGGCGAAGGCAUCUCACCAGGACGGCUUCGACAGUGAGGAACGAAAGCUGGGGGAGCGAACCGGAUUAGAUACCCGGGUAGUCCCAGCCGUAAACGAUGUGCGUUAGGUGUGCCGGUGACCACGAGUCACUGGGGUGCCGAAGGGAAACCGUGAAACGUACCGCCUGGGAAGUACGGUCGCAAGGCUGAAACUUAAAGGAAUUGGCGGGGGAGCACAAGGG